rnacentral:lncRNA from 1 species
CAUGGUUGAGUUCCUGAUGAGGUGAAUGAUUUUUUUUACAGCAUUAUUCGAAAGACAGAUGUGCAGCUCACAAAGGGCCUGUGGCUUCUCAUGCCUUGCACCAACAUGGGAAUUGUUCCUCGUGUUAUUUGCAAUUGCUGGAAAACAUAAUUAAUUUAUUAAUUUCGGUAAACGAAAAAAAUAAAACAUUGGCAGGUGCAUGAAUUUAUCAGGGUUCAAAAGAACCAACCGUAUGAAUUGCAGCAAGCACAGUUACCUUUUAUUUUUGACGUAGCACAGAACUCGAAUGAACUGAAAGCCUUUUCAUUUUAGAUGCAAAAAUGAAUUGAAGGCCUGCGUAUGGAGAGAGAGAAGCAAUAAACCAAACUGCUUUUAUUCAGGCCCAGACCAACAACCCAGCCCAUAUACCUUCUUUCCUACUUGGUACCUUCACCUCAGUCACUCAGAGUGCUAACAUCUAAAAAGACGAAGUGGUUCAUAAAAAAAGAGGUAAACUCACACUAACAAUAUUAAACUGAUCCUAGAAAAAUUAGCAACAUCAACUCAAUAAAACAUAAGUAGUAAAAAAUUCGCACAUCUAGGUCUUGUUCUAAUUCAGCAUCAGGAUGUUUCAUAAACCAUGAAUAUUUCUUAGAACAAAUAAGAUCAUGAUGACAAGCUACAAAUAUGGUCUGCAAUGGAAAGGACAAUGAGAUCUUUCCUCCACAUACAAAAUGAAAUUGUUGCAGUACUACAGUGGUGGUAGCACAUGCACCAGCAACAAAGGACAAAAAAUAUUGGUAUCUUCCUUCACCAGCCACCAACAGAACUCUGCAACUGCAGCUUAGCAACCAGAGGGAAAAAAAUAGGCAUGACUAGGACAGGACAUGAAUCAUUGGCAAUCAGGGAUACACAAGACACUACAGCAACUACAUGAACCAUUUCUAGAAUAACACCUUUGAUUGCAAAACAUUGGAUACCAGAAUGGAAUUGUAGCUAUGCAGACUACCUAUUUCAAUAAGAGAUGAUUUCUACAUCCUAAUGUGAUGAGAGUUGUGCAGGUCUGCUUUAAUAAAACAAAAAAUGUUCUUGGAUCUUUCUCUUAUGGGAGACAUGCCAGCAGAUUUGAUGAAGAUAAUUCACAAAUGGUGAUUAUUAUUAUUAUUGUUUGGAAACUAUAACACGGAUGUAAGGAUGGUAAUAAUAGUCAGAGAGCAUGAAAAAGACGGUCAGCUUGUUGGUUUCGUGAAUAAGACAAAUAAUACAACCUCCUGUGAUCCUGUCCUCCUGUCCCUGGUAAAAACAAGGAUGAGAAUGUGACCUUGAUCAACCAAUCAUGUCUAACUGAAGAGCUGAAAAAAACUGUGGGCUGAAGAAGAAAGUAUCUUGAGUGAUGUUUAAUUGAAUCUCUGCG